rnacentral:rRNA from 1 species
GCAACCCUGAGUACAGCGGCGUACGGGUGAGUAACACGUAGGUAUCCACCUCUUAGUGGGGAAUAACUUGGGGAAACCUGAGCUAAUACCGCAUAAGUCCGAGAGGAGAAAGCAGCAAUGCGCUGAGAGAGGAGCCUGCGGCCGAUUAGCUAGAUGGCGGGGUAAUGGCCCACCAUGGCGACGAUCGGUAGCCGGCCUGAGAGGGCACACGGCCACACUGGCACUGAAACACGGGCCAGACUCCUACGGGAGGCAGCAGUGGGGAAUCUUGCACAAUGGAGGAAACUCUGAUGCAGCGACGCCGCGUGGACGACGAAGCCCUUCGGGGUGUAAAGUCCUUUCGACCGGAACGAUAAUGACGGUACCGGUGGAAGAAGCUGCGGCUAACUACGUGCCAGCAGCCGCGGUAAUACGUAGGCAGCAAGCGUUGUUCGGAAUUACUGGGCGUAAAGAGUUCGUAGGCGGUGCGGUAAGUUCGGUGUGAAAUCUCCCGGCUCAACUGGGAGGGUGCGCUAAAUACUGCCGUGCUCGAGUAUAGGAGAGGAAAGCGGAAUUCCUGGUGUAGCGGUGAAAUGCGUAGAUAUCAGGAGGAACACCUGUGGUGUAGACGGCUUUCUGGACUAUAACUGACGCUGAGGAACGAAAGCGUGGGUAGCAAACAGGAUUAGAUACCCUGGUAGUCCACGCCCUAAACGAUGCAUACUUGGUGUGAGCCAUUCACUUGGUUCGUGCCGUAGCUAACGCGUUAAGUAUGCCGCCUGGGGAGUACGGUCGCAAGGCUGAAACUCAAGGAAUUGANGGGGGCCNGCACAAGCGGNGGA